UAAUAAGUGUUUUAUGGCACUUUUUAAGUCCGUAUCCACCUUGUGUGCAAUGUCAGUCGAUCUUCUUCAUGGAGAUCGACCAAACAUCAACCUUUAUCUUUUAACUCUUUGUCUGAAAAAUAUUAUGAAUAAACAAUUCAAAAUA
rnacentral:misc_RNA from 1 species